rnacentral:rRNA from 1 species
AUUGAACGCUGGCGGCAGGCCUAACACAUGCAAGUCGGACGAGCGGCGGACGGGUGAGUAAUGCCUGGGAAUCUAGCUUAUGGAGGGGGAUAACUACUGGAAACGGUGGCUAAUACCGCAUACCAUCGGAUGUACCCAGAUGGGAUUAGCUAGUAGGUGGGGUAAAGGCUCACCUAGGCGACGAUCUCUAGCUGGUCUGAGAGGAUGACCAGCCACACUGGAACUGAGACACGGCCCAGACUCCUACGGGAGGCAGCAGUGGGGAAUAUUGCACAAUGGGCGCAAGCCUGAUGCAGCCAUGCCGCGUGUAUGAAGAAGGCCUUCGGGUUGUAAAGUACUUUCAGCGGGGAGGCGUUACCCGCAGAAGAAGCACCGGCUAACUCCGUGCCAGCAGCCGCGGUAAUAC